CAACCAGAACACUGGAUUUGCCUUUGUCCUCAGUGUGGUUAACUGAGGGAGACAGAGAGAGGCCGUGUCUUGGUCUUUUCACCUGUUAGCAAGGACAUUUCCCCUGGUUUCCAAACAAGUUCUAAGGACAUGUCUUUCUUUUUCCUUUUUCUUUCUUUCUUUCUUUCUUUCCUUCUUUUUUCCCUGUAGUGGAGAAUGGAUGGCAGGGGAAUAGUACUUCCUUGAGACUGUUUUCCUCCUGUAAUAAUUGUAAAUCAUAACUGCUGAGACUACCGUGCUCUUCUCAGUGUGGUUUUGUUUCGUUUUGUUCUGUUUUUACCUUGAAAACUUUGUUUUAAGAACGGUCACUUGUGGUGCGAAGGGGUGGCCCAAGAGUCUGCUGCUCCUGUGUGAUGCUCCCCUGGGAGAGCACUGUCCCGAAGGCUCCUUGAGUCUGUAGGGAUGGCCACUUUUCCUUCCACCCCCUUUGCUCAGGUUAAUGUCUGUGGGUGUUUUCUUCUGCACGUGAUUGGAUUUCCGCUGUCCAGAAGCAGGCCACAUUUACUGGAGUUACUGAACUCUGAAAUAGGAAGCCUGUGGGUGGGUGAUCAGAGUUGCCUCGCUGGGAAGCCAAGGCCUCAGUCAGAGAACAUUAGAGCCCAGAAGAGAGGACCUUAAAGCAAUUGUUCACCCAGACACUGAAAGAUUUUGUUUCAGGUAUUGCCACAACAGCGACAUUGGUCUGUGGGUGGAGACACCCAGGGUGGCUGCCAGUACCCUCAUCCAGCUGCCUCCUCUGUUUCCCCGUUGUUUGUGGUCUGUGUAGUGAUUUCAGGGAGGUGGAAAUUGAGAGAACAUUUGUGUAUCAAAGCAGCCUAAAUAUUUGCAA
rnacentral:lncRNA from 1 species